rnacentral:tRNA from 1 species
GGAUUGAGGUAGUUAAUUUCGGGGAAGCCACAAUUCUGAAACUCUGAAAAGGCUUUUCGGCAAGCGUUUCAUUGUCGAAAGCGGCAGAUUGCUAAUCUGUUAGGGGUGUUAACAUCCCUCGGGGGUUCAAAUCCCCCUCUCUCCG